AAAACGACUCUCGGCAACGGAUAUCUCGGCUCUCGCAUCGAUGAAGAACGUAGCGAACUGCGAUACUUGGUGUGAAUUGCAGAAUCCCGUGAACCAUCGAGUCUUUGAACGCUAGUUGCGCCCGAAGCCAUUAGGCCGAGGGCACGUCUGCCUGGGCGUCACGC
rnacentral:rRNA from 1 species